rnacentral:rRNA from 1 species
AGUAAUGUAUGGGGAUCUGCCUGAUGGGGGGGGAGUAACUACUGGAAACGGUAGCUAAUACCGCAUAAUGUCUGCGGACCAAAGCGGGGGACCUCCGGGCCUCGCGCCAUCAGAUGAACCCAUAUGGGAUUAGCUUGUAGGUAAGGUAACGGCUUACCUAGGCGACGAUCCCUAGCUGGUCUGAGAGGAUGAUCAGCCACACUGGGACUGAGACACGGCCCAG